rnacentral:sRNA from 1 species
GGAAGACGGGCGGCGCGUGGCGGAAGGCAGGCUUGCUCCUCGGGGUGGGGGAGGGUAUCCGGCUUAAGGGGGCUGCGGUGGACGCCACUUCUUAAUGUCGGGGGUCUUCGCGGCGCUCACCUCGGCUCCUAGGGUUCGGGACGGUACGCACCAGCCACCUUCGCGCCGAAGGCGGUAGGGCGCCACGGAGAGGAACCGCUCUAGGCACGUAAGGCCUCGUGAGGUUGCGUCGCGCGCGGAGCACUCUGGGACUUGUAGUUCUGGAGAUGGAGCGAGCUGUGCCGCUCGCGGUGCCUCUGGGUCAGACAGAGGUGUUCCAGGCCUUGCAGCGGCUCCAUAUGACCAUCUUCUCCCAGAGCGUCUCACCAUGUGGGAAGUUUCUGGCGGCUGGCAACAAUUACGGGCAGAUUGCCAUCUUCAGCUUGUCCGCUGCUUUGAGCUCAGAAGCCAAAGAGGAAAGUAAGAAGCCGGUGGUGACUUUCCAAGGUGGGUAUAGCUGUGGAGUCUGGCUUCGGGACUUUGGGUGGGAUUGACUCACUCAGUUCUGCAUUUCUCUUUAGCCCAUGAUGGGCCCGUCUAUAGCAUGGUUUCCACCGAUCGACAUCUGCUUAGUGCUGGGGAUGGGGAGGUGAAGGCCUGGCUUUGGGCGGAGAUGCUCAAGAAGGUAAGGAGUCGAGCUUGGGAAAGGGCUGGGGUGCCUGGACCCGGAGAGAGCCUUUGAGGUCACCUGGUAUUUUCUCUUUUGAAGGGCUGUAAGGAGCUGUGGCGUCGUCAGCCUCCAUACAGGUGAGCAGGGCCACGUGGAUAGAGGGUGCAUCAGGGUGAAGCCACUUCCUCACUGACCUUGCCUUUCCUUCCCCAGGACCAGCCUGGAAGUGCCUGAGAUCAACGCUUUGCUGCUGGUCCCCAAGGAGAAUUCCCUCAUCCUGGCUGGGGGAGACUGUCAGUUGCACACUAUGGACCUUGAAACUGGGACUUUCACGAGGGUCCUCCGGGGCCACACAGACUACAUCCAUUGCCUGGCACUGCGGGAAAGGAGCCCAGAGGUGCUGUCAGGUGGCGAGGAU